AUGUUCACUUCAGCGGCAUAUGCAUUGAAAUAAGAAUGACACAGAGAAGAUAAGCAAAGUCCCUAAUCAAGGCUGAUAUGUAAAUUAAUGAAGUGUCCUAUAUUUUU